rnacentral:rRNA from 1 species
UGGGGAAUUUUGCACAAUGGGGGAAACCUUGAUGCAGCGACGCCGCGUGAUUUAGAAGGCCUUCGGGUUGUAAAAAUCUUUUCUAUGGGAAGAAAAUGACAGUACCAUAGGAAUAAGGACCGGCUAAUUACGUGCCAGCAGCCGCGGUAAUACGUAAGGUCCGAGCGUUGUCCGGAAUCAUUGGGCGUAAAGGGUACGUAGGCGGGUAAGCAAGUUAGAAGUGAAAUCCUAUAGCUCAACUAUAGUAAGCUUUUAAAACUGCUCAUCUUGAGGUAUGGAAGGGAAAGUGGAAUUCCUAGUGUAGCGGUGAAAUGCGCAGAUAUUAGGAGGAAUACCGGUGGCGAAGGCGACUUUCUGGCCAUAACCUGACGCUGAGGUACGAAAGCGUGGGUAGCAAACAGG